GAUGAACGCUGGCGGCGUGCUUAACACAUGCAAGUCGAACGAAGAAGAUUUGAUUGAGAGCUUCGGCAGGAUUUCAUUUUUUCUUAGUGGCGGACGGGUGAGUAACGUGUGGGCAACCUGCCCUGUACUGUGGAAUAAUCACUGGAAACGGUGACUAAUACCGCAUGUCAUCACUGGAAGGCAUCUUCCGGUAGAAAAAGGAGCAAUUCGGUACAGGAUGGGCCCGCAUCUGAUUAGCUAGUUGGUGAGAUAACAGCCCACCAAGGCGACGAUCAGUAGCCGACCUGAGAGGGUGAUCGGCCACAUUGGGACUGAGACACGGCCCAA
rnacentral:rRNA from 1 species